ensembl:snRNA U2 U2 spliceosomal RNA
AUCGCUUCUCGGCCUUUUGGCUAAGAUCAAGUGUAGUAUCUGUUCUUAUCAGUUUAAUAUCUGAUACGUCCCUAUACGGGGACUUCAUAUUAAACGGAUUUUUAGAACAGGGAGGCGAAACAGGGGCUUGCCCCGUUCGCCCCACGCAUCGGCCUGGUAUUGCAGUGCCUCCGGGAACGGUGCAAAGAUU